AUUGAACGCUGGCGGCAUGCCUUACACAUAGCAAGUCGAACGGCAGCACGGGAGCAAUCCUGGUGGCGAGUGGCGAACGGGUGAGUAAUAUAUCGGAACGUGCCCAGUCGUGGGGGAUAACGUAGCGAAAGCUACGCUAAUACCGCAUACGAUCUACGGAUGAAAGCGGGGGAUCGCAAGACCUCGCGCGAUUGGAGCGGCCGAUAUCAGAUUAGGUAGUUGGUGAGGUAAAGGCUCACCAAGCCGACGAUCUGUAGCUGGUCUGAGAGGACGACCAGCCACACUGGGACUGAGACACGGCCCAGACUCCUACGGGAGGCAGCAGUGGGGAAUUUUGGACAAUGGGCGCAAGCCUGAUCCAGCAAUGCCGCGUGCAGGAUGAAGGCCUUCGGGUUGUAAACUGCUUUUGUACGGAACGAAACGGUGAGCUCUAAUACAGUUUGCUAAUGACGGUACCGUAAGAAUAAGCACCGGCUAACUACGUG
rnacentral:rRNA from 1 species